UUUGAUCAUGGCUCAGGAUGAACGCUAGCGGCAGGCCUAAUACAUGCAAGUCGGGCGGCAAGUCGAGGAGUAAUCUGAGACCUAGAGCGGCGCACGGGUGCGUAACGCGUAUGCAACCUCCCCUUACCGGGGGAUAGCCCGGGGAAACCCGGAUUAAUACCCCAUAGUAUGAAGAAGUGGCAUCACAUUUUCAUUAAAGAUUUAUCGGUAAGGGAUGGGCAUGCGUAGGAUUAGUUAGUUGGCGGGGUAACGGCCCACCAAGACUGUGAUCCUUAGGGGUUCUGAGAGGAAGGUCCCCCACACUGGCACUGAGAUACGGGCCAGACUCCUACGGGAGGCAGCAGUAGGGAAUAUUGGGCAAUGGGCGGGAGCCUGACCCAGCCAUGCCGCGUGCAGGAAGAAGGCGUUAUGCGUUGUAAACUGCUUUUAUACGGGAAGAAAAGGCCCAUGCGUGGGACAUUGCCGGUACCGUAUGAAUAAGCACCGGCUAACUCCGUGCCAGCAGCCGCGGUAAUACGGAGGGUGCAAGCGUUGUCCGGAUUUAUUGGGUUUAAAGGGUGCGUAGGCGGCCCGUUAAGUCAGCGGUGAAAGUCUGUGGCUCAACCAUAGAAGCGCCGUUGAUACUGAUGGGCUUGAGUGCCGUAUGGGUACAUGGAAUUGAUGGUGUAGCGGUGAAAUGCAUAGAUACCAUCAGGAACACCGAUAGCGUAGGCAUUGUACUGUGCGGCAACUGACG
rnacentral:rRNA from 1 species